AGUUUAUUCGAUUUACUCUCAGGUACUGAUCUUAAACUUUAAGACACAAUCAAUGAGCAAAUUCCUUCGAUAUGACGUUCGCUGUCGGUCAAGCUCUGAAACAGGUUUACCUAGGCAACAGGAAACACUUUGACUUUGUUUUUCACUGUGAUUUGAAGGAAUUCGUUAUUGUAGGGUAUUAAGACAAAAGAUUUCUUUCCAUAAUGAGGGAGACAAGAGGAGAGUCAUCGAGAAUUCCAAGACUGCACGUGACCGCACGCCAUUUCAGGAAAAACUGACCUCUCGCACACCAAAGCAUCAAUGAUUCAGUGUGUAACAAUUAUGGCGAUCCACUUCUUGAAUUCAAAAGAGGAUAAAGAAAGGAAAAGUUGUAAUGAACGUUGUCUUCUAUUUUGGGAAUUUACUUGAUGAAAUCGAUGAAGUGUAUUUGAAUUAAGACGCAAGUACCUGUGUGAAUUAUGUAUCCUUUUGUGCUUUACUCCGUUGUGUGAGGAUUAAAGGAAAGUGAUCUACAUUUGUAAUGGGUGUUGAAAACUCUUCGUCUGAUAACCUGUUGGUGUCUGCUGUGGAUAGUCUUCUUAGCAAUGGAAGUACUCAUUUCGGAGGAGGUUUGGAACUUCCUCAGCCCCAUUGGAAUUGCAGCUUGAUGGAUGUUCUAAACAUAUCGGAUUGUGUUACUGUGAUAUUAUCUCAAGAUUUCCCCAAAUCUGUUCCUAAUUGUUCACUAGGAGAUCAUUUACCUUAUAAUUGUACAACGGACAACAUUCCACACGUUUCGGACAAACAAGAAAAAUCUCUUGCCAAAAUUAUCGCAAUAUCUAUUCUGUGUGCAGUCCUUUCCAUUCUGACGAUUGGUGGUAACCUUCUAGUCAUAAUAGCUUUCAAAAUGGACAAACAGUUGCAGACGAUAAGUAACUACUUUUUGCUGAGUUUAGCUGUUGCUGAUAUGACAAUCGGUUUUGUGUCGAUGCCAUUGUAUUCAGUGUAUAUUAUUAUGGGAGAAUGGCCCCUUGGUUCCAUUUUCUGUGAUUUCUGGUUAUCUCUAGAUUACCUAAUGAGUAACGCAUCCGCCGCUAAUUUGAUGCUUAUAAGUUUUGACCGUUACUUUUCUGUAACUAGACCAUUGACCUACCGUGCGAAACGGACGAGUAAAAAAGUUGGAAUGAUGAUAGGUUGUGUAUGGCUAAUUUCAUUGUUACUGUGGCCCCCGUGGAUUUUUGCGUGGCCGUAUAUCGAAGGUGUUCGAACCGUUCCAGAUAAUGAGUGCUAUAUUCAGUUUUUAUACACAAAUGUGUAUGUAACUAUAGGAACCCAUGUUCUUGCCUUCUGGCUUCCAGUAGCAAUCAUGUGUGUUCUUUAUUAUAAAAUAUACAGAGAGACUGAAAAAAGACAGAAGAGAAUGCCAAUGUUGUUGGCAACCAAAGAUUUCAAAGGGUUCAAGAAAAACUUCUCCCCGGAACAAAACCUUAUGUUUUCACCCAGGUCCUCGUCUUUGGACCUCGACGAUGUGUACGAUCUUGCUGAGAGUUUGGUUCCAGCUGAGAGGACAUGUAUGUCGCGUUGGUUUUGCUGCAAAAUAGAUCGCGAUGACGAAGCUGAUGAAAUAAGUAGCAGCGACCCAGCUUCACCGAUGAACCUGCUACAAGAGGAAGAAGAACCACCCGUUAGAACUUCCCACCAUUCGAGAUCUACCAACGGGUGCCAUAGAAAUGGCGGACCCGCGCGUUCAAAUGGAUUCGUCAUUCCGCUAAUUGCAAUGGGUUCGAGUCGCGCAUCAUCUGUCAUCACUUCUCCGGAAUCAUUAACCAAAACGUCCAGCGCGAACACAGAUUUAUCGGUAGUGACCAAUGAAUGUCAAAGUCCACUUCUUGAUGAUACCGACGAACUUUACACUAUCGUCAUUAAUAUCCCCAGGGAGGAAUCAAUUAAUGUAACCCCUAGCCCAUCUAUUCAAAUGAUUGCGGACACGCCAGAAGUCAAUCAAAAAUACAAAUCGGGACCAAGUCGGAAAUCAGAUUAUGAACUAGGAAAAAAUAUCAGAGGAAGCCAUAGAACGUAUCUCUGAAGGACAAGGUUUGGUGUCAAGCAGUGAAUGCAUACCGUUACCGAAAGGCACACCGGCGCUUGGGCGUCGAACUCGGUCAACCGACGCAAAUAGAACUGCUCAGCAAGCGAGAAUCGCUCAACAAGCUGCGCUCAAAGUUAAACAACAACAAAGGGCGAGAAAGAAAAGAACUGAGCGAAAGCAAGAUAAGAAAGCUGCCAAAACACUGAGCGCCAUUUUAUUUGCUUUUAUAAUCACGUGGUUGCCAUAUCAUGUUGCCACUCUCGUUGAAGUCUCGUGUCCGGGUUGCGUUCCACUGACUCUUUACUACUUUGCUUACUGGUUCUGUUACAUUAAUAGCACAAUCAACCCUGUAUGUUACGCCCUCUGUAAUGCCAACUUUAGAAAGACUUUCUGGAAAAUUUUGACUUGUCGUUGCGCACGCAACCGGAUGUUGAUGCAACGCCGAAUGACGUCAACUUACUCAUUUGGUGCUGCUAAUAGGUGACAUCACGGAAAAGCUGUAAUUUAAUCCAAUGUUGUGCAAAUAAAUGACUUGAUUAUGACUGUUAUACACAAAUAGAAUGCAUGACUAAAAGUUAAUUGUAAACGAUGUACUUUCGAGAAUUUACGUUGUUUGUAUUUAAGAAAACGAUUGAGAUCAGAAUCUAAAAAAAACGCACAAUACUGAAUCCGACCCUGCUUCUGUCUUAAAAAAAUAAAAUGUGUUUUAUUCCUUAUUCUGUGAUACUUUGUGCACAAUCAGUUUUUUUUAUUAAGUGCAUACUUAAUGUUUAUAACUUUCGUUAUUUUCUUGACAUAGGGUGUGAAAGCUACACUAUCUAAGGACUUUUUAUUGUGUGAUAAAGAAAUUAAGCUGCACGAACAUAAUGCACAGAUAAAUCCAAAUGUUUACCGCAUGUUUUGGUAACAACAGUUGCAAUGGUCAAAAUUUAAAAUACAUGUUAUGAUUGUCAAAUGAAAUAAAUACUAGUAUUAAUGAAAAUAUUUAUAUACAUGUUUUACUACCUUCAACAUGUUGAAAUGCUGUGUCAUACGCAAAUUUUAUGUGUUCUACGUUUAAUAAAUGAUACAACAUUC
rnacentral:misc_RNA from 1 species